UGCAGUCGAGCGGACAGAAGGGAGCUUGCUCCCGGAUGUUAGCGGCGGACGGGUGAGUAACACGUGGGUAACCUGCCUGUAAGACUGGGAUAACUCCGGGAAACCGGAGCUAAUACCGGAUAGUUCCUUGAACCGCAUGGUUCAAGGAUGAAAGACGGUUUCGGCUGUCACUUACAGAUGGACCCGCGGCGCAUUAGCUAGUUGGUGGGGUAAUGGCUCACCAAGGCGACGAUGCGUAGCCGACCUGAGAGGGUGAUCGGCCACACUGGGACUGAGACACGGCCCAGACUCCUACGGGAGGCAGCAGUAGGGAAUCUUCCGCAAUGGACGAAAGUCUGACGGAGCAACGCCGCGUGAGUGAUGAAGGUUUUCGGAUCGUAAAGCUCUGUUGUUAGGGAAGAACAAGUGCGAGAGUAACUGCUCGCACCUUGACGGUACCUAACCAGAAAGCCACGGCUAACUACGUGCCAGCAGCCGCGGUAAUACGUAGGUGGCAAGCGUUGUCCGGAAUUAUUGGGCGUAAAGGGCUCGCAGGCGGUUUCUUAAGUCUGAUGUGAAAGCCCCCGGCUCAACCGGGGAGGGUCAUUGGAAACUGGGAAACUUGAGUGCAGAAGAGGAGAGUGGAAUUCCACGUGUAGCGUUGAAAUGCGUAGAGAUGUGGAGGAACACCAGUGGCGAAGGCGACUCUCUGGUCUGUAACUGACGCUGAGGAGCGAAAGCGUGGGGAGCGAACAGGAUUAGAUACCCUGGUAGUCCACGCCGUAAACGAUGAGUGCUAAGUGUUAGGGGGUUUCCGCCCCUUAGUGCUGCAGCUAACGCAUUAAGCACUCCGCCUGGGGAGUACGGUCGCAAGACUGAAACUCAAAGGAAUUGACGGGGGCCCGCACAAGCGGUGGAGCAUGUGGUUUAAUUCGAAGCAACGCGAAGAACCUUACCAGGUCUUGACAUCCUCUGACAACCCUAGAGAUAGGGCUUUCCCUUCGGGGACAGAGUGACAGGUGGUGCAUGGUUGUCGUCAGCUCGUGUCGUGAGAUGUUGGGUUAAGUCCCGCAACGAGCGCAACCCUUGAUCUUAGUUGCCAGCAUUCAGUUGGGCACUCUAAGGUGACUGCCGGUGACAAACCGGAGGAAGGUGGGGAUGACGUCAAAUCAUCAUGCCCCUUAUGACCUGGGCUACACACGUGCUACAAUGGACAGAACAAAGGGCUGCAAGACCGCAAGGUUUAGCCAAUCCCAUAAAUCUGUUCUCAGUUCGGAUCGCAGUCUGCAACUCGACUGCGUGAAGCUGGAAUCGCUAGUAAUCGCGGAUCAGCAUGCCGCGGUGAAUACGUUCCCGGGCCUUGUACACACCGCCCGUCACACCACGAGAGUUUGCAACACCCGAAGUCGGUGAGGUAACCUUUAUGGAGCCAGCCGCCGA
rnacentral:rRNA from 1 species